rnacentral:lncRNA from 1 species
UGCCGCCCAAUCUUGCCUGGAACCGGCUGCUCCUGCUGCUCUUUUGCUUCUGCCUUAAACCUGGGUUACCCUCAUUCCCUAUUCUCCCGCCUCAGAUUGGAUGGUGCCACCCACAUCCAGGUGGAACAGGAAUUAAAACAAAUUAAAGAAUAUGCAUUGCGAAGACCCUGUUUCUCUAGCCGUGCAGCUGCAAGGUCAUAAACAGAUAAACUCAAGUCGCAACGCAUGUUUUUCCUUGAAAAGUAAGAAAUGAUGUAACGCAUGUCUCAAUUAAUUGAAUAACUGUCUUUGUUUCUCGCUUCUGCAACGUGCUUCCCCCUACACAGAUCUCCCUCCACCCCACGAAAUGCUUAAAAGGUAACUUAAGC